CUCGUUGUGAUGUACUCGCGCUCAUGUGUCCGUGGUGUAGUUGGUUUAUAGCCUAACGUUAGCGUUUUACUUCUGCCGAUUGCAUUUACGCUUCAAAAAUCAUAAAAGUGGUGUUUAUUUGUGGAGAUGAUCUUGCUGAACAAAUGGUUUAAGUAUGAUGAACGUU